GCCAGUGUGGUGUAGUGGUUUGAGCGCUGGGCUAUGACUCCAGAGACCAAGUUCGAAUCCUCACUCAGUCA